rnacentral:lncRNA from 1 species
UCCAUAAAGUGGGCAUAAGUGAGAACAGGAAAGCCAGAGGGUCAACAACCCUGCUAUCGGGAAUGAGCCCAACAUAGACCUUGCAGCACAAAAAAAAAAAAAAAAUGUUCUACCAAAGCUCUAACAAAAAAAAAAAGAACAGUGGCAAGCCGACAGCACUUGAAAUGGACAAGCAAGAGAGAGCAUCCAGACACGGCCGUUGCUGAAGAUGGCUCUCGAUAUCCUCGGGCCAAGAAGAUGAAUUCGCGUAACAUGAAGGCUGGUGCAUACACCUGACUGUACCACAACGAGGAAAGCAAACAAAUGAAAAUUUAAAAAGCACGCACGUUUCACACUGAGAAUCUCCAACCUCACCUAACAGCUCACUGCCUAAUGAGCUUUGAGAGAGGCAAAAAUUUGUACAGAUGUUUACAACUUGCCUAUCACAGAUCACAAAGCACUGUUGGCCACUGCCACGGAUAACUGCAGAAAUGUUUUUCUAGAAGCGCGACAAUUAAUGCAGCGUGCAAGGUGAACAAAAAAAAGAAAGAA